rnacentral:rRNA from 1 species
UACAGAGGGUGCAAGCGUUAAUCGGAAUUACUGGGCGUAAAGCGCGCGUAGGUGGUUCGUUAAGUUGGAUGUGAAAUCCCCGGGCUCAACCUGGGAACUGCAUUCAAAACUGUCGAGCUAGAGUAUGGUAGAGGGUGGUGGAAUUUCCUGUGUAACGGUGAAAUGCGUAGAUAUAGGAAGGAACACCAGUGGCGAAGGCGACCACCUGGACUGAUACUGACACUGAGGUGCGAAAGCGUGGGGAGCAAACAGG